CAGUAGCCGCGGUAAUACGAAGGGGGCUAGCGUUGCUCGGAAUGACUGGGCGUAAAGGGCGCGUAGGCGGCGGCCAAAGUCAGGCGUGAAAUUCCCGGGCUCAACCUGGGGGCUGCGUUUGAUACUUGGUUGCUUGAGUGGGGAAGAGGGUCGUGGAAUUCCCAGUGUAGAGGUGAAAUUCGUAGGUAUUGGGAAAAACACCGGUGGCGAAGGCGGCGACCUGGUCCUUUACUGACGCUGAGGCGCGAAAGCGUGGGGAGCAAACAGGAUUAGAUACCCCCGUAGCCCUGUCUCUUAUACA
rnacentral:rRNA from 1 species